rnacentral:tRNA from 2 species
GGGCGGUUAGCUCAGUUGGCCAGAGCGUCUGCCUUACACGCAGAAUGUCGCAGGUUCGAAUCCUGCACCGCCCA